UGGGGAAUAUUGGACAAUGGGCGCAAGCCUGAUCCAGCCAUACCGCGUGGGUGAAGAAGGCCUUCGGGUUGUAAAGCCCUUUUGUUGGGAAAGAAAAGCAGUCGGCUAAUACCCGGUUGUUCUGACGGUACCCAAAGAAUAAGCACCGGCUAACUUCGUG
rnacentral:rRNA from 1 species